rnacentral:rRNA from 1 species
UGGGGAAUAUUGCACAAUGGGCGCAAGCCUGAUGCAGCCAUGCCGCGUGUAUGAAGAAGGCCUUCGGGUUGUAAAGUACUUUCAGUCGGGAGGAAGGUGUCAAGGUUAAUAACCUUGGCAAUUGACGUUACCGACAGAAGAAGCACCGGCUAACUCCGUGCCAGCAGCCGCGGUAAUACGGAGGGUGCAAGCGUUAAUCGGAAUUACUGGGCGUAAAGCGCACGCAGGCGGUUUGUUAAGUCAGAUGUGAAAUCCCCGGGCUCAACCUGGGAACUGCAUCUGAUACUGGAAAGCUUGAGUCUCGUAGAGGGGGGUAGAAUUCCAGGUGUAGCGGUGAAAUGCGUAGAGAUCUGGAGGAAUACCGGUGGCGAAGGCGGCCCCCUGGACGAAGACUGACGCUCAGGUGCGAAAGCGUGGGGAGCAAACAGG